UAGUUUUUCUCUCUCCACUUUUUUUCUAUGGGUAUUAUACCUAAAUAAUAUAUCUUUAUUUCCCGUUGCUAAAUCCACUUUCCUCUCCUCCGCCAUGGGCAAACUUCGAACUCCACCGACGCAGCUUUCAGCAACACGGCUGCUCAUCUUCCAUCCAACGCCAGCAAGCUCUGACGAAUGUAGGAUCGCCGCCUACCAACGGAGGCAGAUAGAAGAAGUUCGUCUUCCAAUGGCGAUGGAGACGGGCGAUUGAGGCGACGGACUGCAACUGCUGAUCGAAGCCAUGGGAAUUCAUGACAAUCUCUGGAAGCUUUGUGAUUGUUGAGGAUAGGCACGUCAAUGUGGCAGGAAGAAACCGGACUAAUGGGACACAAAGUUGUAUGGUUUAUCAUUGCGUUUCCACCCCCUUGUUUAAACUUGGCCAACAGCACUUUGUUAUUGUUAUGAAUUGAUACCCUCGAAUUAUCCACUCGUAGUUGUUUUUGAUUUUUUAUGUUUCUCCCAUGAUUAUUUUUUUAAUAGAAGAUAAAAGAAUUAUCUGACCAAAUCUGUUAUUAAGUGGAAUCUUCCAUUCAUUAUAAGGCUGUCAAAUGCUUUUUGCUCUCCUAAAAUAUGACUAUGGCUAACACUAGCAACAAUCUGGCUUUAUUAUGCACAAUGUUAUAUGUAUUUCAUUUACCAUUGUGCUCUGUCUAGAACCAUAUUUUGGCCUUCAUCAGCUUUUGUGAAGUUACGUUAGCUAGACUGGUAUACUUAUUUGGUAUAAAAAUGAAUUGUAAAAUUGUAUUGCCCAUUAUGAUUUAAGAACCUGCUUGUUGGGCACAUUUUUUUCACACAACGGCCACAUCUACACCAAUAGUUUAAGCCUGAUUUCUUGUAGAGAUAAUCUCUCGUUUAAUAGUCUAUUCCUGGAAUCAUUUAAAGUUAUGUAGUGACAAAACGCUAACAUAGAUGACUUUGCGGACGGUAAUAAAUAGUUGAUGAGAAAAAUAUUUGGCCCUUUUAGUACCUUUUAGAGCAUAAUGAAAAAACAAAGGCACCUUGCUUUAGGGGUAUAUAAAUAAUACUGUUAGAAAAGGUGGAGGUGGCCAAUCCAAUAAGAAGCUCUUUUUCAUUUGAGAUUCUCAGCAACUUCAAUCGAUCAAAAGCUUGUUGAUAUAAUCUAAUAUAUGCCUUGAUCAAUCUUUUAUAUACUCAAUCAGAUAGCUUUUCAGAGAAAACAUUUCUCAUGAAAUGCAUUUCCUAGAUUUACGAUGAAACUACAGGAAGAGCAACUUUCUCUCUGGCAAAGGUCCUAAGUUUGAUAUGCUUUCUUUAUUUUUCUCCUUGCGCUUUCUUAAGCAACAAGACUUGCAGACAUGAACACUCUUGAUUCUUGGACAGUGGCAGAGGACAGGAUUUUAGGCUGCAGAAGUUGCAGAAAUGUUUUUAGCAUGCUUCCUUAUUGUGACAUGGAAACCAUGCAUAAUGAAUGCAGCAACAUUAUCGAGCAUUGGUAUGUCUGUUGAUCAUACUAAAAUAGAACUAAACUUUUCUAAAAUUUGUUUGUUCAUAAGUGAUUAGAUGACUCUUAGCCACUUUUAGGUAUAAAGAAGUAUAUUAUGGCCAUGCAAAUGAUAAAUUUGGAGGCUGCGACUCGAUGCUUUUGUUGCAUUCAAGUAUCUCCGAGGCAUGCAUUAGGUCAGUUUCUGAACUUCCUUUUGUUGCUCAUUUUGUAUCGAUUGAGCUCCACUUUGAAAUUGUGACGUGAUAAUUGACAACUCAAGCUUACUGGAGGUUUAUGAUUCCUUAUGUUGAUUACUGAUGGAUGCAGAUUUGUAAUGAUUCUGUUUGCUGUUGCACCUUGAAUAUUGCAACACAUAACCUCUCGAAGUUUCUGAAGCCCCAAGAAGUCGAAUUUAUAUCAAUUGUUUCUAUCUUCACUUUAUUUGCUUUUUCUUAAAUUCUUUAUUACUGGUUAAACAUUUUCCUUUUUGUUAAUUUCCACUGAAAAAUUUAUAGUUCUGGGAAGUGCCAUAAGUUGAGCUAACAUUAGUUUGUUCUUUCAUUUUCCCUUUGCCCCCUGUUUCUUCAUCUCUUCUUCCUCACUUGUUUUCACUGCAGUGAGAUUCUUUGAUGUCUUAAUGUUAUCAAGAUUAAAUCAGGAAACAUAGUAUCUUCAAAGAAGUAUGAUUUUGUGACUAUGAGCAAAUUAUGCUUUCUGAUA